CAUUCAGAACUGUGUUGCUGCUGUCUUUCUCCAUCAUGCCUGCAGCCUGCAGCAGGAGGAAGUAUCGCAGCUUGAUAAUAAGUAACGGUGCAGCAAAGUGUCAAAAUGGUAGCCUGUUAGGCA